rnacentral:lncRNA from 1 species
GGCAAUGGCUGAAAAUGGAGAUGAACAGGAGUGUGGUGCCUGCCUGAGAGCCAGAGUUUCACUCUCAGAGGAGGAUUUUGUUCUUCAAUUGUGGAGUGAUCUCUAUCACCAGUGACUAAAGAUGUUGGAGCACAGAGAGCCAUACCCCAAAAUAUGAUGCUUCGGCAUGCUGACUGCUUUGAAAAUUGAAAGGCCUCAGAAAUAAUCCUCAGUGCCAGGGUCUCCCUCUGACCUCCCCCUACCUCCCUUUCUCUCUGAUCCUGUCUCUCCCAAAGCACAGAAUGAAGCUGUUCUCUGAAUUCCCUUAUCUACCUAGAAACUGGACCCCCAAAGAGGAACACAAUUUGCCUUUGAUCCCUUCCCUGAAAUUUCAUUAACCAGAGAAAAUUAAAACUUCUAUCACAAAGGAAGAGACUGAACAUUAAACACCAUAGCUACAGCCCAGACAAACUUCUUCCCAAACCAUUGUUUGUUCUCCUGCCUGUUAAAUUGCCAGAGAAUCAUUCACAAGAUAAAGUCUGCCUUCUGGGUCCAUUCAUUCCCCACUAAAAAUCUUUUACUCCUACACCCUCAUGUCUCCUUCCUCCAUGAAGAAGGGUCUAUAAACCUCUAGGCCUCAUUGGGUUAUUGGGUAAUCAUUCUCAUGCAGUUCCCCUGUGCUCUGCAUGUUAAAUAAAUUUGUAUGCCUUUUUCUCCU